rnacentral:rRNA from 1 species
GACAGAGGGGGCAAGCGUUGCUCGGAAUUACUGGGCGUAAAGGGUGCGCAGGCGGCGUCGCAAGUCAGGCGUGAAAUCCCCGGGCUUAACCUGGGAACUGCACUUGAAACUACGAUGCUGGAGUAUGGCAGAGGGAGGUGGAAUUCCACGUGUAGCGGUGAAAUGCGUAGAGAUGUGGAGGAACACCGAUGGCGAAGGCAGCCUCCUGGGCCAAUACUGACGCUCAUGCACGAAAGCGUGGGGAGCAAACAGG